GGCGCAUACACUUUCUAUGUAGAGAAUUGUUGACUGAUCCUCAUGAGCUGAAAAAAAAAAAAGCUGCUUCUAGUGUGUGAGGUUUCCGGGUACCUUUUAGUUCCUCAUAAAGUUGCAGACUCUGAGGUGCCUCUUGCUGUCUGCUUUUGUCAGCACCAGCCCCAUAGUAGGGCUAGCUAGGCACAGAGUCUAGUUUGGUGGACACAUGAAAUUUGCAUGACCGAGGCCUGGGGGUGGUGGGGGAGGCUCCAGCGGCAGCAGUGGGUUGGCAUAGAUAGCGUUUGAUAUGUUCAUAACCCCUGCUGACCUGGAAGCGUGUCCUUAACCUCCCCCUCUUCAGAAGAGUGAGGUCUUUCGUGCUCCUGAAAGGACUAGAGCAGGUGACAGGCUGCCUCAGGUGAUGCUGACGUAGCAGACCCCUUUUCUGGGCUUCGUUAGCUUUUCUGACUCCUUAAAACCUAUUGUUUCUCUCUUCUCAGCAGACAUCUUUAAAAUAACCAGUUCUGUCUGGUUGAGAAAAUUUGGAAUGUCUGACCUAUCAAUGUUUAUGUAGACAUCGUCUCUGAAAGACAAUAGCAUCAGUGUUAGAUCUAGAAUUUUCUUCCAAAAGAUAAUGUUCUAUUUGAUUUCAUGCUGGUCAGUAUAGCAUUGGAUAUAAGUUCUUAGGCUUUGGGACUCCCCCCCCACUCCAUUCUAGUUUCCUCCUAAGAGUAAAGGGGUGGAGGGACCCAAGCCCAUUGAGUUCAAAGCCAUCUCACAGAAUCAAAUUUAGACCAUAGGUUCUUGAACAGUGUAUUGUGUCAUUAGUUUACCUCAUCUCCCUCUUUAUUCUGAUACUCUAAGUCAAGUGAGCCUUUGGUUAGUGGUUAGUAUCACUUGGACUGUGGCGAGCUAGCAGAACUUGUUUGGCUGUGAUUAUGGUAAGAACGUGUCUGAAGCCACUUCAGGGGUAAAAGGUUUGUUUUCUUUCAUAAUUGCAUCUGGUACCCAGCAGGAAGUACCUGGCCCCUCCUUGUUCGUCAGAAUAGCUACCCAAGGAAUCUGCCUGGAGAAAGGUCAGUGAAGGAAGACUCGUGGUCACCCCACCCAGGGCAGGGCAGGGCGGGCCUGCCCGAUGCUGCCGGACGCUGCCUUCCUCCACUAACCGGGCGUUGCUUCAGUUCUUUCAGAACUGAUUUAGCAAGUUCCAGAACCCUGUCCCCUUUCCAUGGCACUGAAGGGUACAGUGAUUCAGGGCUUAAAGAAUUGGCUAGGUCAAGGGGCAGAGAGGGCAAGAGCAAGGCGUAUUGUAACCCAGGCCUACCUGUUCCAACUCUUUCAUAACUUGUUUAUGAAAAACAAUUGUUUUCAUUCAUAUAUAACUUAUUUAAAAACUAAUUCAAAUAAUAAUGAAAUUGACCCAUUUGCCUAAAAUCAUUGCUUUUUGAUAACUUGGUUUUGAUGUGGUUCCAUGUGGAAGAACGCUAGGGAGCAAAGCUGUCUGUGUAUGCUGACGUUCGUAGGAGAUUAGGAACCCAUGGAGAAACACUAAGCUAUUUAUUUGUCUGUCUGUCUUUUUUUUCUUUCUAAGUAGGCAGUUCUUUUUCUGUAUAUUUUGUCAGAUAACCACUUCACCUUUGGUGCCUUCCAUGUGUCACAUAAGCACUCUUGUCAAUCAUGGAAUUGGGGCGGGGAUGUACAUUUAGUUAACAGAUAACACUAUUUUUGUAGCAUGAUUGUGUCCUUUCAAUAUUGCUUUCCACAGUAUCGGUCCUGACGUUUGGGCCAUUUCCUCUUAAACUUCCUAUGUAUUUUUCAAAACGACCCCCUCUGGCAAGUCCUGUCCCUUGCACUGUGUUCUUCCCACACUGCACUUCUGCUGGUUUAGUCUGAGAAGUAAGUCAGAGGAUAGUUCUGAAAAAAGUCUCGUUCUUGUAAUUCUGUUUGACACUGUUUGACUGUUUGUUAGACUGGAAGAACUGUUGCUCACCAACAGUGAGAAGAAAGUGGUCUCAUUUUUCACAAGUUUCAACCAUGUGCCACCUUCCUGCUUGCUGGGUCUAGUGAGCGCUUGCAUUUGGCUCCUGGCCCUCCCACCCUAGCCAGUCAGUCCCGGCUGUUGUCUGCCCUGUCUCCUAGGAUAGAUAGGCUAAGUGCCGCUGUGUCCUGGCAGCACCCCAGACUUGCUCUGGGAUUUGCCCCACUUGGAUUUAGGUGACACUGUGGCUGCCGCUGGUGGGUUUCUGGGUAGCCUGAGUGCAGUAGGUCCUGUGCUGUGGAGGGCUAGGGAAAGCCAGGGCACAGGAUAACCUAGCCACCGUUCUGUUUUCCUGACCCUGCACCAUGGAGUUGUCUGGUCAGGAAAAACUCACUGAGCCAUUGCUGAGUAAAGGUACGGCUCCUCUGAGGUAGGAACUUGUAGCUCUGUGAUUUUUGUCCUUUGAAGAGUCAAAACGUAAUUCUGUGACAACACAAGUUAUUAUGUGGCCAAAUGACAGCUUUCUGCCAGGACUGGCCACUGCCACUCCAUUUAAUAGUGGCACUCUUGGGAGACAAUGUUAAUAGUUACCACAUUUUGUUUCUUGAGUUUGGUUUUCUUUGAGGCAGGGUCUUGCUAGGUAGUCCUGUCUGACCUCUAACUUAUAGCAAUCCCCCUGUUUCUUCCUCCUAAAUGCUGGGAUAGCACACAGAAGUGGACCACCAUGUCUAGCUAAAGUUGUUUGGCAUGGGAAUUCCAAGGUGAGGGCCGUUUAAGAACCUUGAAUUUGUGUUGUUUGCAGUACUGAGUUUCCCAUCUGGGCCCAUCUGACAUUGUCGCCAUGGAUGGACCUCCCCUGACCCCCAGGCUGGACCCUGUGCACUGCAAAUGAUGUGGGAGCCAUGGAUGGCAUUUGCCCCGUUGAUUUGCUAGACAGCAGGCAAAGCCUCACCCUGCCCUCAGCCUCUCCACUUUCCUUUGAAGGACCAAUUUUUCAUGGUACUUGUCUUGAUUGUUUUCAUAUUGUUCAAAUCUGUAUUUUUGUAUGUAGAGGGAAAUACUUUUCUCAAUACUAAUCACUAAUGAAUACUGUAUUGUCAAGAAGGAGUUCUUGUUUAAUAAAUGGACA
rnacentral:lncRNA from 1 species